rnacentral:pre_miRNA from 1 species
CACAUACUCCCUCCGUUCGGAAUUACUUGUCUCGGAAAUGGAUAUAUCUAGAACUAAAAUACGUCUAGAUACAUCCAUUUCUGCGACAAGUAAUUCCGAACGGAGGGAGUACCUU